CAAAAAGGAUUAUGUCAUGGAACCACAGGACCCAGGAUACCCACAGCUUCUCCAUAAACUUGGCAAGCCCUAGGAGCAACCCCAGAAUCCAGCAGGUAUCAACAGCUGCAUCCCAGCCUGUCACUACAGCCAAGAGGGGAGUGGGCCUCUUCCCAAGCACUUCGUACAGUGCUCUGCACAAACUCUGGUAAUGAAAGGAAGAAAUUAAAAUCUAAGGUGGGAUGGGGAAGGAGAGGAAGAGGAAGAAGGGGAUACGACGACAGAGCUACCUCUCAUGUAGAAGACAACCGGUGCCUGGCGAUUUUUUCCCCCCAAGUUAACCAUGGAUACACACACACACCCACACAAUUCCUGGAAAAAU